UAGCUCCUUCCUCAGUGCGGUGGUGUGGGGCCAGGAUUAUUUCUGUCCUGGCUGGGGGCAGGCUCUGAGCUGGGUCCCUCGGCCACAGAGCAGGCAGGCAAGGGAUUUCUGAGGCAUGGCAGGAAUGGAAAUGUCCCCACAACCCCUGGUGCUGGCCCAGGGAGAUGUGGUUUGUGAGUGAGAGCAGCCAAGGGGACACCUGAAGAGGGUCCUGGUCCUGGACCGUAAAAAAGUCCUGGAGAUGGGAGGGAGGGAAGGAAGGAAGAUGAGACAACACACAUCCCUGCCCAGGACGCAGGGUCUGGCCCAGCUUGUCCCCAGCUGGCCUCCCCCGUCUGAGCACAGGCUACCCCGGGAGAUGGAAAUGACAGGCAGGCUGACCUCCUAAUGGACCCGACUGACAGAGAAUCCAUUUCCUGACAGCAGUACCUCCUUCGCGCUGCGCAGGUUCCUAUCACGCUUCCUAAUUACUGUAAUUAAGCAGUCUUGCUGAGUGAUGUUAGACAGAGGGUUCAGAGUCGUUACAGGUCUGCAGAAGAUUAAACCAGUCCUGGCUUCAGCGUCGGAGCUCUCCUCGGUGAUGGCGAUGAUGAAGAUGGGAGCUGAUGAAGAUGGGAGCUGGAGACAGAGCUUCGUGACGUGGGGUCAUGGCAUUUGUCACAGCUCGUGGGUCUGCCCUUGUCACUUGUGGCCAGAGCAGGAGGGGACACAGCCCCGGUACCCUGCCCACUCUCUGCACCCUCCUGGAGACAGACAACUGCCCUGCGUGGUGGUUUUGAAGCUCUGGAAGGGGCAGGUCAUUGUGUCUAGCACUGAGAUGCUCGUGGCAAGUCUAUUUAGUCAUUUGCCAAGCACAAGAAUAAAAAUGCAGCUGGAUUUGUGCAAGUGAAGGAGUUCUGCGAAGCCGAGGGGAGUCCAGCUUUACAUUAUUCACUUGGUAUCCACCAUUUAUCUCCUGGCUCCCUUGAGCUAGGGGGGCUGAGGUUAGUCUACAACCACGUACGCCAAUACCACGGUGAUCAUGGAGUUUGAGUCUCUUUCUCUGUGUUUUUUUACAGCAGCCUGAUUAGUUUAGCAGUGGCCUUCCCUGAGGCGCUUGCUGACAAUAGCAGAGGACUGGAGACAGCCGCUUAGUCCCACAGCUGCAUCCCACCCUCCUCAACCUCUUUUUCCCCUAAAGGACACCCAGGGUUUUGCAGAUGUCCUUCUAUUCACACAGGCAGCGAGACACGCUGCGUACGAGAGACCAUGGCUCAGUUCGUAUACAAUUGGCACCUAAUUCAUUUCUCUGUGCAUGUGAAAAUCAAUACUGCUUGCAGAAUGCACAAAGACUCUCCUAUCGG